GAGUUUGAUCCUGGCUCAGGAUUAACGCUAGCGGGAGGCCUAAUACAUGCAAGUCGAGGGGGCAGCAAUGUCACCGGCGAACGGGUGCGUAACGCGUAUGCAACCUACCUACAUCAGGGGGAUAGCCCUAGGAAACUGGGAUUAACACCGCAUAACAAUAGAGUUGGCAUCAACUUUAUUUGAAAUAUUUAUAGGAUGUAGAUGGGCAUGCGUAGGAUUAGCUAGUUGGUAAGGUAACGGCUUACCAAGGCUACGAUCCUUAGGGGCUCUGAGAGGAGUAUCCCCCACACUGGCACUGAGAUACGGGCCAGACUCCUACGGGAGGCAGCAGUAGGGAAUAUUGGGCAAUGGAGGCAACUCUGACCCAGCCAUGCCGCGUGCAGGAAGACGGUCCUCUGGAUUGUAAACUGCUUUUGAAUGGGAAGAAUGUGAUGCUUGCGAGCGUUAAUGACGGUACCAUUAGAAUAAGCCACGGCUAACUACGUGCCAGCAGCCGCGGUA
rnacentral:rRNA from 1 species